UGCGUAGGCGGUUUACUAAGUCAGAUGUGAAAGCCCGAGGCUCAACCUCGGGACUGCAUUUGAAACUGGUAAACUAGAAUACAGGAGAGGUAAGUGGAAUUCCUAGUGUAGCGGUGAAAUGCGUAGAUAUUAGGAGGAACACCAGUGGCGAAGGCGACUUACUGGACUGUUAUUGACGCUGAGGCACGAAAGCGUGGGGAGCAAACAGGAUUAGAUACCCUGGUAGUCC
rnacentral:rRNA from 1 species